GCAUCAUCUUAUUGUGACAGCAACAGCUUGGGCAUGUGGAUAUGAAGCAGGAGCAGCUGCUACAGUAAAAUGACAGUGCCCACAUAGAAGGGACAGACGAGAAGAUCUGAGGUCCUGGUGAGGUUUCUGGGCCACCAUGGAGAAGGCUCUGGGAGUGUGCCCUUCUGAUGACCUCCCAGUUGGCGAUAUUUCUUUUCUCACUUUGGCUGAGACUCUUUUUUGAGUCAAAGAUGUCUGUGAGCUAAAGCUACAGCAUCCUUGCUUCGCUGCCUUCUUUGAGUUCCUCUGUUAUGUCAUAAGGAGCUAGCUGAUGUGCAGCAGGUGUAGAGUACAGUGUUGUAAAGUGAGUGAAGCAACAGUCAAGCCAGGAGUUUGACUAGCAAGAAUCCAUCUCCAGGAUACAAGUCACCCCAGAAUGGAAUUAAGCCUAGCUAUCAUGGACAGCUGGUGUAGCUGAGGUCUUAUCCCACGAAGCUUUGCACAAAAAGCAGCUGACCAAGGUUACCAGGAAUACAAGACCUCCUUUCUCCUGUUAGUAACGCUGCCCUCCACACUGUUGUCUGAACAGCUGUGUCUGUGUACCAUGUGCAGUAACAAGGCCAGAAGAAGGAAUUGGAUCCCCUUGAACUAUAGUGACAGACACUUGUGGUAUGUUGAUGCUGGGAAGUGAAUUGUGGUCC